rnacentral:rRNA from 1 species
GUCUUUUUGAAAUUUAUAUAAAGUCUAACCUGCCCAUUGAAUUUUUAAAAGGCUGCGGUAUUUUAACCGUACAAAGGUAGCAUAGUCAUUAGUUUUUUAAUUGAAAACUUGUAUGAAUGGUUGAAUGAAAUAUUAACUUUUUUAAUUAAAAAAUUGAAUUUUACUUUUUAAUUAAAAGGUUAAAAUGUGUUUAAAAGACGAGAAGACCCUAUAGAGUUUUAUAAUUGGUAAAAUAUUUUAUAAGAAGUUUAUUAUAUUUUUUAUUUAAUUAAUUAUUUUGUUGGGGUGAUAAUAAAAUUUAAUAAACUUUUAUUUUUAAAUACAUUAAUUUAUGAAUGAUUGAUCCAUUAUUUAUGAUUAAAAAUUUAAAUUACCUUAGGGAUAACAGCGUAAUUUUUUUUUAAGUUCUUAUUAAUAAAAAAUUUUGCGACCUCGAUGUUGGAUUAAGAUAUAGUUUUAGGUGCAGCAGUUUAAAAUUAAAGUCUGUUCGACUUUUAAAUUCUU